AUUCCAGCUUCAAUAGCGUAUUUAAAAGUUGUUGCAUUUAAAAAGUUCGUAGUUGGAUUUGUGAGUGCUUUUUUCUGCCAAUCGCGAGUGCAGCAGUGCCCUUCCAUCCUUCUGUUAACGCCUCUUGGCAUUCAUUUGAUGGUGGUGGGCUCAGAUAUUUUACCUUUUGGAAAUUAGAGUGUUUCAGGCAGGCAAGGCCGGAAUACAUUAGGAUGGAAAAAUGGAAUAGGACUUCGGUCUCUUUGUUGGAUGGGAGGGAUGUAGUAAUGAUUAAUAGGGAUAAAUGGGGGCAUAGGUUUUUAUUGUCAGAGGUGGAAUUCUCGGAUUUGUUAAAGACAAUCUUAUGCGAAUGCAUUUGCCAAGCAUGUUUUCAUCG
rnacentral:rRNA from 1 species